rnacentral:rRNA from 1 species
GACGAACGCUGGCGGCGCACAUAAGACAUGCAAGUCGAACGGACUUAACUCGAAGUUUACUUUGAGAGCGGUUAGUGGCGGACUGGUGAGUAACACGUAAGCAACCUGCCUAUCAGAGGGGAAUAACAGUGAGAAAUCAUUGCUAAUACCGCAUAUGCUCACAGUAUCACAUGAUACAGUGAGGAAAGGAGUAAUCCACUGAUAGAUGGGCUUGCGUCUGAUUAGCUAGUUGGUGGGGCAACGGCCUACCAAGGCGACGAUCAGUAGCCGGACUGAGAGGUUGAACGGCCACAUUGGGACUGAGAUACGGCCCAG